GUGAUUCAUAUCCCACUUUGGGAAAGAGAGAGAUACGAUCCAAUUAUUUGUGCUUUUCCAGCCCUACCCCCUUGAAGUGAUAGAGGCUUAGGUGGUUUGGAUUCCGAGGCGGGACCCAAGACCACUUGCUUUGAGAACGGUUCACCCAAUCAGUUCAUCCUUCUCUUUUCCUGGCCAGACUCUGAAUACAUCCUUGCUUUAAAUAAGGUCUACAGAUGAUGAAUAUUCAUCUGUUGAACGUACGAACCCGCACUGGAAACGGACCUGUUCUUCUAGCGCUUCCAUGAGGCAUUCCAUCAAAACGAAUAGACUAGAUUACUUCCCCAGUGACCUUUGCUAGUAUUUUCAACUGAAAUUUCACAAGAAUUUGAUCAACACCCCUGCUUGGGGCAUCUACCCAGCUGCCUGAUUUACAUGGACUCUACGGAGCUUAGAGAGGAGAUACAAGAUCAUCAAGUCAGACACAGUCUCCCUGUUCCACACAGGGCUCACAGUCUAAAAGAGGAGAGAGAACAGGCGAUUUUUAAGAUAAUGGUGAGAUCUUAUCGACGUGUGCCUGAAACACUCAUGGGUGACGACUUUG